GAUGAAGAACGUAGCGAAAUGCGAUACGUAGUGUGAAUUGCAGAAUUCAGUGAAUCAUCGAAUCUUUGAACGCACAUUGCGCCCUUUGGUAUUCCUUAGGGCAUGCCUGUUCGAGCGUCAUUUAAACCUUCAAGCUCAGCUUGGUGUUGGGUGACUGUCCGCUUCACCGCGGACUCGCCUCAAAAUUAUUGGCGGCCGGUACAUUGGCUUCGAGCGCAGCAGAAACGCGAACUCGGGCCCGUCGUAUUGGCUCCCAGAAGCUAUCUUCACAAUUUUGACCUCGGAUCAGGUAGGGAUACCCGCUGAACUUAAGCAUAUCAAUAAGCGGAGGA
rnacentral:misc_RNA from 1 species